UAGUCAGUGUUGAGUAUUGCUGCUAAUGUAUGUAAAAUGUACAUAUGUAUUUGGAAAAAAUUCUAAACAAAUUACUGUAAAUCAUGAACAUAAGCUUGAAAAAGUGCUCCGUCUGCUCUAAUUUGAAAAAUGGCGUAUAUAUGUAUAUUUACUUAGCCUACGGUGUUCUUUUUGUGCUCAAUCUUACCAACACUCAAAAUCAAGCCAAGCGUUGAGGGUCGGUUGCUUUUGACUGCUUCCUGUCAGUUGAAUACUGUGCACCAUUAUGCUGCGCCCAAUUAUAAUUAUAAUUGCACCAUUUUAAUUGCAUUUUGUUAACUAUUUUGCCAGCCAUUUGCAGCAUUCAAAUGGCAAAGUUCAUUUAACAUAAAAACGAAGAAAAUUGUGCAUAUUCAUAUUAAUGGGCUUAUUAAGGAUACUUUAAUGUGCUUAAAAUUACUAGGAGAUUCUCUGUGAAUCAAAAACUUUUAAUUUCAGAAUAUACGAAAGCAGAAAACAUAUUAUUUAACAAUUUAUUGUAUACAUCUAUUUUUAUAUAGCAACUACUAUGUACUUAGAUAUGAACGUGCAUUUACUUUAAUGUACAUAUGUAUGAAGUAAAAAUAUGCUUUAAGUUUGGGUAAUCACAUAUGUACAUAUAUACGAGAAUCUACAUACAUAUGGACAUCACAUCGUCAUAGCUAAUUUGGUGCCUUGAAUCUUUACGCUGAUAUAAACAGACAGGCUAAGGUGGCAACGUCAAACCGACUGUUGACCAAGAAUAAAUAUUAAUAUAUGUAUGUAAUUAAUGCAAUCGGAAACGCCUAAUUACGCCAGUUAGAUAUGUAUGUAUUUACUUUCAUGUGUACAUCUUCAUUUACAAAUCAGUGCAUGGG